rnacentral:lncRNA from 10 species
AGCACAUGCAUGCUUUUCCACUCCCCAAUCACUUCCCCCUCCAAAGGGAAAAAGGAGAUAUGAAGACCAGUGAGAGCAAAGGUUGCUGUUGGCUGCAUGGACUGUUGAUGAAAUGCUGAGCUAGUGAGAGUCAGGCCCUCCUCAAGGAGAGUGAGAGAGGAGGGGAAAGUGAGAGCUGGAGAGAUCUCUUCUCUCCUUCCUUGCUCUCUCUCUCUCUCUCUCCAUAUCUCCCCCUCUCUCUGCCUCCUCUCUCAGUGCCUCUGCCUCUUUCUCUCUCUGCCUUUCAUUCUCUCCACAUAUCCCAAUUGAACUGCUGAUGCUCUACAAUCUCAACAGCCCUUCUCUCUUCCGGCAAGUUUAAUAUCUUCAUCAUUAAUAUUCCUACUCAAGUUUUUCCCACAGAGGGCCUCUCCACAUAUUACUGCACGUUACUCCACUAAGAGAGGUAUGAGAAACUGAAAAUGGAUAGAGGCUGACUUCGCAUCCAAUUCAUCUGGAAGAUGACUUUCUGCCUUGAUGGAAGCUUUUCUUCACUGGGCAGUAGAACCUCCAAAGACAUGUAACUCAAGUUCACAGGAAAAAGAAGAAAAAAUACUUCCAGUGGACCAGGAAACCACACAAAAAACAAGACUUUGCUAUUCUCGUGUGAUGCCUAAAAGUUUCCAUACUAGGAGAUAAAACCAUAUUUAGAGAAUUUGAGAAGAUCCAAGGAAGAGAAGAGGAAGGAUAUCAAAAUUUGCUGAGGACUUACUGAGUCCUAUAUACUUUCGUGCAUGCGACGGGUUUUUUUAGGAUGAGCUUUCUUCUAGGAGGCUUCUUAGAAACAUGAAAAUGAUCUUCUAAUGGACCGUUUCACUAACUCAACAUACCCAGGAAUGCCUCUAAACAAAGCAGAGAUUCAAGAUGUGCUCCCUGCUUCAUUUUUGGGGUAUUGCCUUUGGAAGUUCCCCAACAACUGUCUGAGAGUGCUGCUGAUAUCAGGGAAGACAGAGUGGAGCAUGAUCCUGCACCAUUAUCUUUGGACAUGCAGACUUUUAUUAGGUGACUGUUGUAGCUAUCGGGCCCAAAGACUUUAGAGCUUCAUAGAACCUGAGAUAGAGAUUGGACAGGUCCUUUUAGAAAGCUGCUCAGGUGACCUAAAAAGCUGAUUUAAGAACAUUUUUCACUGACAGCUAUUUUCCUCCAAAAUUGUAUGCUCUAUAUCUUGCUUUUGCACUCAUGUUAUUAUCAAUAGUAUUAGUGAAAGUGGUAGCUGUAGUAGCAAUACCAGUAAUGCUUCUUGGCUAUGCAGUAGAUGUUUUGAGGAUCAGUAGUCCUGGGGAAACUUACAAAACUAAGGACCUGUUCUUCCAAAAAUAUAGAUACAAAUAAACACACAAUUAUGAGAUUGUAAGAAUUUUACAAACCUCCUAAAAUCUAGACCUCAGAUUAAGACACCCCCGUAGACAGACAAUACCAUUAGCUUAUUUGCCAUGCUGUUAUGGAUAAGCCAGUUUGUCUGGUUUGUAUUUUCUCACAUGUCAAACUGGGAAUAGACAGUGUAUUCAUAGUUGGAAAGAACAAGGUUAACAGCAGAGGACUAGGCCUGGUGUAGCAUCAGCCUGGAGUGAGCAGGUGUAGGACACAGGAAAAAAGGAGAAACAGAACCUGAAUGUGAGGGGAUCGUGCAAGAAGGCAGGUGACAGGCAACAGGCUGGCAUGAGAGAGGCCUACCCUCAGGAAUCAGCAGAGGAUGGGGAGAUUAGCAGAUUCCAACAGGCAGGGUAUUCGAGAAGCAGACAAUUUUUUAGUUUCUAGCUGAAAGACCAGUAGUCAGCACCAGGUAGAUUUGAAUACCUGGUAGUUAGUCAAUGAGUAGCAGGAAAUGAAUCCCCAGGCUGGGAAUCAGGGAUGGAACCGCCAUCCCUGGGGAGGUAACCCAGGGCAAUAGUGCAAAAGGAAGUGAAAUGUAGCCAAGGCCUGGGAGAAAUAGGCACCAAGAACCGUCUAGCCACAAGAAAUGGAGCUCAUAUUAGGGCUGAGAUAUGGGACAAAGCAGCCCACCCCUAGAAACCAGACUGAUGAAAGACAGGCACCAGCGGUUUACAAAAGAAGGGUACAAUUAGUCAGUAUAGAUAUUAAAAUGUCAGACCUCAAUAUUAAUCAAGUAACCGCGCGUUAAAACAAGAUACCAUAUUUUGCUUAUUAAACUAGUAGUAAUUUUUUAAGCUAAAAAACCAUUCAUGUUAGUUAGGGAGUAAGAAAAUGGGUACACACUCAAUGCUGAGCACCGAUGGGUGCAAUCUUUCCUAAUUUGGAAAAAAAGUAAAAAACUUGAAAGUUACGCACAGAUUUUGGCUCAAUGUUUUCACUCUGAGAAAUAUAUACAAAUGUUUUAGAAUGUGCACAUACAUUAAGCUACAAGAAUGCUAAUUGCAGAGAAAUCAGAUGUCCAAUAACAAGCAACAGGUUAAUGAAUUAUACAAUAUCCAUAUAUUGGCAGAUAAUGAAUAAGUAUAGUUGAUGAUGUAUAAUUAUAUUUAUUGGCAUGGAAAGUUGUUCAUGAUACACUGCUAAAGAAAAGAAUCUGGUUACAUAUAGGUACAUUUAGUAUGUUCCUGACACAUAGUAUACUCUUAAUAAAAAUGUGAUUUAUUGAUAUAGUACAACACUAAUAAGAAGAACAUAUGCCAAAUUGUCAAUAAUUAUUACCUCUGGUUAGUGAAUAAUGGAAUUUUUUUCUUUUCUUUUCUUUUAUCUAUUUUCUUACUUUUCCACCAAUGAGCUAGCAUCAUUCAUAUAACACAGAAAAAGUAAAAGUUACUUUUUAAAAGUACAGAUUAUUAACUGAAUGCCUCCUUUACCAGCAGUCUAGGGAAUAUUAACUAGCAUGCUUUGAUCUGCAAGUCAGGCUUAGAUGACCUCCCCAAAGCCUAGGCUGCAAGACCACUAGGCCAAGAGGCAGGCAUGGUGGGUCUGUGCUCCUCCCAUCCUGCUCCCCCUCCAGGCUCCACCACUCUACAAAAAGUGAAGUCACUAUCAGACCAGUGGCCGAUCCCAAACGCCAGGCCUCAUUUAGAGGAGGCUUGCUCAAGAAGCUUAUAUUUGCUAAUUACAUAAAUAUCAAAUACUGAAAGCACCGCAAGGGCAGGGUAGGUCUGUCUUGUUUGCCGUAUUAUCUUCAGUACCUUUAGCACAGUGCUUGGCACAUAACAGAAGCUUGAUAAAAAGUAGAGUAACUGAUAUAGUAUAAAUGUUAUUAAAUAAGGUGAAGAAAGAGAAAAGGAAAUAAAAUUAGGUUCCAUGAGUAAGUACCCUAUAUAUGCCACGCCCUAUUUUAGGAAUUUUGCAUGACACAAGAGUUAGUAUAGACUGGAGGUCAAAGAUGCAAGCUCUGAUACUCAGGAUGCCUCGGGUUGAAUCUUAGUUCUACUUACUACCUUGGUGACUCUGAGAAAGCCGCUUAACUCUCUAAGCCUACAUUUUCUCAUAAGUAAAAUGGAAACAUUGUGCGCAGACUCCAAGACAUGGCCUCCAAUAAGCCAUGCCUCCUGAUAUUACUGCCCUGGUGCAGUUCCCUCCCACCUUCCAACUCUGCUGGCCUGUUGACCCGAUUGAAUAAACAGAAGGAAACUGAAUGUGAUCUUCUGGGAAUUCAGAAUGUAGGCAUUAAAAGGCUUGGUAGACACUGCUUUUGUGCUUUUGGGGACCCUUAGCUGCCUUGUAAGAAGUCUGUCCUGGAGACACCAUAUGAAAAGGCCACAAGGAGAGGCAAAGCCCUGAGACCAUGUGGAGAGAGGGACCCAGACAUUCCAACAUUUCCACUGAGCCCAUGCGACUUCAGUCCUAGCUGCAUCUGACUGCACCACAUAAGAGACCCCAAGCAAGGCCAGCAGAAGAACCCCAGCUGAGCCCCAUCAACUCACAGAACUAUACGAGAUAAAAAAAAAAAGUUGUUUUAAGUCAUCAAAUUUUGGAGUGGAUUAUAACACAAGAACAAUAGCUUUUACUUUGUAGAUAAAAUACUAUCAUGCACAUAAAGCACAUGCGUCCAUUAAUUAUUUGAUCUUUGCAAACAAUUCUGCAAGGUAGGAAUUGACUUUUCCAUUUCCAUGAUGAGGAGUCUGAAAUAGAAGGGAGAGGUAGAGGCUGGGCAUGGUGGCUCAUAAUUGUAACCCAAGCAGUUCUUGUUUCAGAUAUGCAAGAGGCUGAGGCAGGAGGAUGACCUGAGCCUGAGAGGUCCAGGUUUCAGUGAGCCAUGCUUGCACCACUGCACUCCAGCCUGAGCGACAGAGCGAGACUCUAUCUCAAAAUAAAUAAAUAAAUAAAUAAAUAAAUAAAUAAAUAAAUAAAUAAAUAAAAGUGGUGGGGGAGGGUUUGAGACAGCAUUCAAAGGGCCAAGUCAAUCUCACUCUGGAAACGUAUUUUCCUUACUUCAUAGCCAUCUCUUUAGAAAAAGAGAAGUAGCAACUUGCCACAAAGUCUUAGGAACCCAAGUCUAUUUUUCCACAUCAAAUCAUUUUAGUAAUAAAUAACAAGAGGAAUGAAGGCUAUGUGAGCUGAAGAGUGUGCUCUCAAGAUGGAGCUGGUUGCUGUGGAGAUGGCUGUGAUGUCUCAAGCUGAUGAUGAUUUCAGCUGGGGAAAUGAGCCGCAGGAGUGGAUGCACCAGGAAGCACCCAUGCUCUUUCUCCUAAUGCAAUAUAAUGAGGGAAGUUAAACUACAAAUGAAUGAAAAUAGGGACGGACUAUUUUCUAAAGAUAAUGCUUCCCGGCAUCUCCACAGCGCUCUAAAGAACACCAUCAGCUGGCAGAAUGAGAACAGCAGUAAGUGCCAUUCAGUGUUAAUUACAUUUAAAUGUAAAUCUAAAGGCAUCAGGGCCAGACAAGUCAUUUUUAAUAACAUUUCA